AUGAGGAAAGAGUUAUUUAUUGCCAUAAGUAUUAGCAGUGUGAGAACCGAUCAGCUUAUAUUUGGAAGUGGAACCACUCUCACAGUUGAACCGAACAAUCAAACAAGUUCUAUCCCAGAAGUCAUUGUGAUGAAAUCAAAGAAACUGCAGCAAGAUGGCAGCAUUGGGAAAGCAGCUUGUUUAGCAAGGAAUUCCAAUACAAAGAACAUCAGCUUGGAGAUGUCCCCUAAUGAUGUUGUAUAUGAACAGAGUACAUCCAUUUUGACAUCAGAGGGGUUGUACAAUAAUAUUAAGGUAGUCAAUGUGACAAAAGGAACAGAGGUGAACUGCAUGGCCAAAUUCAACGGCAGAACUGCUACAGCCAACACAACAUUGCCAGAAAAGGAGGCUGAAGAACCAGUAACAGGGAAGGUUUGCAACACCACAGACACCUCUGCACAAGAGACCAAAGUUGAGAAAGCGAACAUGCUGUCUGUGGCUGUGUUGGGUUUGAGAGUCCUGCUGGCAAAAAGUAUUGCCUUCAAUACACUCAUGAGUAUCAAGUUGUUUCUUUUCUGA